GUUUUUCAUGUCUGUAAUCACCUGACCCUUUGUCCUGGAGCUGAACGCCUGGCCUGUGCUUGCCUUGCAGAAAAUGCCCUUUAUCAGGUGCUGUGCCUGUGGAAGCCUCUGGAAGGGAGCACCCUGAUGGGGCGAUUCCCCAGCAGGGAGGUGCUGUCAGCAGGACCUCCAGUGCCAGGAGCAAAGCUCUGAAGAGCAGUGUAGGGAACACAGUAUGGGUAAAGGAAGGUGGUACAGAAUGGAAUCUUAUCCCCCAACAAGUUGCAGCUGGACCAAUUACUAAAGAUUAGGAACAGGCCUGAUCCUAACAGGCCACACCUGUAGCCAAUAAGAACAGUGGCAUAAAAUAGUGGAUUGGUGGGAUUUGGAGUCAGAUGGCUGCUGCAAGGACCAGGAAUAGUCAGUGCUUAGAGGAGCUGCCUGUGAGAAACAUUGUGGAGGUAUGAAACUCUGAGGGUAUGGAAUCCUUGCACUAUAAUGCUAAUAGAACUCUUGAUAUAUGAGAUGACAGAGCAGGACCAGGCAGAGCCAGCUCUGGAUGUGCUGCCUGGGAGGGCUUUCCAAAGGGCACAGCCUACUGGGAGCAUUUCUGGGCUCUGUGUGGGGAGCUGCAGACAGGACCAUGCACAAUGUGCAGCCUGAGCUGGGGCUGGGGGGAGAAAUGCUCUGAGGAGAAUGGUGUCAAACUGUGGGGUGUGAAGCUGGUCACAGACCUACUGAGCAACACUGGCCAUGUUCUCCUGGAGCUGCUGCCUAAGGAGGGACAGGACAAACCCUGCUGCUCGCCCCAGUUCCCAUCCCAUGGACCCUGGGCCUGUUCCUGCCAUCUUCUCCCAGCAGCCUCAGCCACACAGGGCCUUGGGGCUGCCUCUGCUUGGUGCUUUUCACCCAUCACCUCCUCCAGGUGCCCCACCAGUCUGUCCUCACUGAAAGAGCUGCUGUGGAUGGGCUCUUCUGUGUGUGCAGGGUCCUCUGAAGCUCAGCAGUGCUGCUCCUGCAAGUACAGCAGGGUUGGGAUUCCACCAAGCAGAGACUGCUGUAAGCAGGGUCUGAAGAGCAGCACAAGGAGGUGGAGGAGAAAGAAGAGGCAGCUGUGUUCAAGCUCUUCCCCUGACCUGAAUUCCUGGUUGAAAAAGAAACCAGUUUCUUAGCUGAAAAAAACUUCCAGGCUGAGGAACACUCCAGGGGUAGCAAAGGAGGGACAGCAUGGACUGCUCAUCACUCCUGGCUGCAUCUGCAUCUCUGGUGCCAGAGGGGGGACCCUGCACACCUCCUGCCUUCAGCUGGGACAACAAGAGAGGGAGC
rnacentral:lncRNA from 1 species